rnacentral:rRNA from 1 species
GACGAACGCUGGCGGCGUGCUUAACACAUGCAAGUCGAGCGGUAAGGCCCUUUCGGGGGUACACGAGCGGCGAACGGGUGAGUAACACGUGGGUGACCGCCCUCAGCUCUGGGAUAAGCCUGGGAAACUGGGUCUAAUACUGGAUAUGACUCCACGGUGCAUGUCGUGGGGUGGAAAGCCUUGUGCGGCUGAGGAUGGGCCCGCGGCCUAUCAGCUUGUUGGUGGGGUGAUGGCCUACCAAGGCGACGACGGGUAGCCGGCCUGAGAGGGCGACCGGCCACACUGGGACUGAGACACGGCCCAGACUCCUACGGGAGGCAGCAGGUGGGGAAUCUUGCGCAAUGGGCGAAAGCCUGACGCAGCGACGCCGCGUGAGGGAUGACGGCU